rnacentral:rRNA from 1 species
GAGGAAUAUUGGUCAAUGGGCGGAAGCCUGAACCAGCCAUCCCGCGUGCAGGAAGACGGCCCUGUGGGUUGUAAACUGCUUUUCCAGGGGGAGAAACUUUCCGAUGUAUCGGGAUUUGACGGUACCCUGGGAAUAAGCAUCGGCUAACUCCGUGCCUGCAGCCGCGGUAAUACGGAGGAUGCGAGCGUUAUCCGGAUUUAUUGGGUUUAAAGGGUGCGUAGGCGGACAAAUAAGUCAGUGGUGAAAUCACUCAGCUUAACUGAGUAACUGCCAUUGAUACUGUUAGUCUAGAAUGUAAAUGGAGUAGGCGGAAUGAAUCAUGUAGAGGUGACAUUCAUAGAUAUGAUUCAGAACACCGAUCGCGAAGGCAGCUUGCUAAGAUACAAUUGACGCUGAGGCACGAAAGCGUGGGUAGCAAAC